GUAGAAGAUGUCAGUUUGACCGUGAACUGUAAAAAGUUGCUUUUUCCAGUGGGACACUCAGCAACCUCCAUCUUCUUCCUUGCCACGUGCUGACUUAGUGAAAAGCAGGUGACAGUAGUGUGUGUUCAUCAAAUCCUUCUGAGGAUUAUCCGACACCUCGUUGAUCACUGUACUUCUCCCACACCCUCAUCCUGAGGGGCACAUUCUUUUUGAAGCUUUGGUCUUCCCUGACCUCCGUCUCUUUCUCUUCAUGGCGCACACCUUCUACUACGGUCUCCACCCCGUCUCUUGGUUCAUUCUCAUUGCCAACGUGGCCGUCACUAUCAUUGAGUGGCAAUUUCUCAUUCGUCAGUUUUACAAACUUUCCACUGCAAAAGACGAGUCUGCGACCACGCCAGCGGCAGCUUCCACUUGAACCAGAAGACUCCAAGGAUCAAACCUUGGUUUGAUCACCAUGGAUCAUCUGCCUAUUGGCAGAGAAAAACAAGCUAUCACCAAAGAUCUGAUGCGGAAAAUUGUUCAUUCCCAAAUUCAGGAAAAACACUGUUGCUCUACUCUCAAAUAGAGAUUGGAUAUUUGGCCCCAAACCAGUGGAGGAGGAUGCAGAAGAGGGAGGAGGAGAAGAAGAGGAGGAGCGACGCCUCAGUGUCUCCAGUAAACUGAUGGAGACAGGAGACAAGCUGAGCAUGGCCAAAGAGAAAGAAAUGCUGCUGCCUGGUUUCCACCAGGGAAAUCCAUCCUUCCCUCCUCCACUGAGAAGUGUCAUUGUUUCGUCGUACUCAAGAGAAAAAAGGAUGUCCACUCACAGUGUAACUUUUGCCCCCCAACAUGCCCCCUUUGUCACUUCCCUUUAAUCAGUUUUUCAGUCCAGUGUUCUCCCAGCCGCAGUAAUGCAUCAGCUAGAGCGUUUUGUUCAAUGUAAAAAGGCGUGUAAUUGUAGUUUGUUGGCAUUUUACAGGAAACCAUGUUUUUUCUCUUUGUACAUUAGUACUUCAUUGUAAACAUGACCUAUUUAUCGGGUGAUAUUGAUCUGUUUCAUCAAAUGGCUAAACUAGUGAUUGUUUCAACUUGUAGCUGUGAUGUAAACACAGUCUAACUUCAGAGAAAAAUGUUGUCUACAAACCCACACACAUCAAUUGUUGCUGCAACCUGUCUCUGACGAUGUGCGUCUCUGUUCUUCUUUCCAGUAAAUAACUUUAUAACACAAGUUUGAGUUUGUUUAUUUGUCACGUCUUCACAAUGCUUGGGAUGAUAGGAAUCUAAUGACUCACUAGUAAUGAAGAGGUACUCAACACAAAGGUGUUGUUGUGUCGUCUCUGUUAGAAUAACCUUUAUCACCUUUGUUAAUACCUGCUGGUGUCAGGGGGUGACGACCCGGUCUAGGAGGAUUAUGUUCAUCAUCCGUGUUACAUAGUGAAAUGCUGUAAGUACAAGGAUGAUGGACGGAUGGAUGGAUGGACAGAAGGCCACUCCUCUGACCUUGAACAGACUGUAGCAGCUUAUCUAGUUUCCAUGUGAGCAGCACAACGGAUGGAUGUGCAGAGAGUUCACACCUGAAAACAAAAUGAAGACAUUUUCAGGUGAUUUACGUCACAUGUUUCUGACGCUGAAGUCUAUCCAAAACCUAAUCUGUAGCUUGCAUUUGAUUUAGCUGCAAACCCUCAUUGUUUAUAGAGUGAAUUCGUUUCUAAACAAAGAUUUGGUUUGCUUUUUUUUUUUUUUUUUAAAUAUUAUGGUGUCCUCCUUAAUCCUUCUUAGCGCAGCUCUUAGACAUUAAGAAAGCUCACUGGCAGACACACGCUCGUCCAGUCCACCAUGGAUGUACCUGGAGAGAGACUGAACAUUCGUUACAGAGAUGAAGACGGGACGAUCCUCUACGAGUCUUACAUCCCACCUUCUCGGGACGCUGUCCACUUGCCGACGUACAUUCUCUACCUGCUCAUUGCUGUUUUUGUAGUGAUUUCUGUUCUUUAUGCCAUCAUUGGACACCUCAUCAAAGACCUAGUCCUUGACUUUGGAGAUUGGUUGUUUGGGGAGCAGCCCGAAGAGGUGGUGGUGAACUACUGCCAAGCUAAAGAUAAGUUCAUGGCUGACUGGGCUCCAGAAACCUCCCCUGAACUGGAGGCGAUGGCUCGGGCAGAGGAGAACAAAAUAGUUGACAGGGACUUCAUGAAAGCGCCAGCCAUCUGGAUCAUCUCCACAGAACCUCGAGCAGCAAGGACCGGACCCCGUGUGGUUUUUGGGAAAAGGUCUUAAAGGCAGAGCAGAGGAAAAACCUUCUGCUCAUUGUGUGCUGCUGUGAAAAUACAACUGAGGACAUGUUGCAGCAUUUCUACCUGAGACUCAAAAUGUGCUAAUGUGUUGGAAGUGGUGAGCUCAGAGGCUGCAGUGGAGCUUUGAGGACAUCUAGUGUCUGCUUUGGUUUCCAGCUUGUACAUCUGAAAUGAACCUGAACAAAGAAGACUUACUGUGACGGAACUUUACAUUGUACUUUAGUUACCACCAUUGUAGUACUGUUUCCUUCCGACAACUUAAGUAAAAUAAUUUAAAUCAUGUUUAAUUAAACAGUAAAAUUGUUCUGAAAUUAGAAUCAAACCUCUAAAAGCAAUUACCAGUGUUUUUUUAAUGGUUAUGCCAACUAUGCAAGAAUAUUUAUUAGAAAAAAGAAAUAACUCAAUAGGGAGGGUUAAAUAAGUUUGCUUCUUCCCACUCAGUUUCGACAAAAAAUAAAACUGUUCUUGACAUUGAUUGAUAGUCAAUAUACAUAAUUACUCUAAUGUGACGUGUGUGUGAACUAUAUGCAAAAAUGCAAAAAAUCUAUUCAUGAUAAGGAGUAAUUGCACGGUCUAGACGGUUUGUUUUUUGUUAAUUAUCCUUUAUAUUCUAAGCAAUGAAAUAAUUUGAUAUCUAUGUUUUGUAAUAUUUUUUAUUGCAGCAUUCAGUUAUUUUUAAUGCUUUAAAUCAAAUAAAUAGACCAAAUAAAACCUAAUUUAAAUGUUUUUGUUCAUUUUUUUUAUCCUAGAAAUACUGGGAAAUAUUUUUGCAUUGCGAAUUUUUCAUUUAUUUGACUAAGAGCAAUUAAUGGCAAAAACUAUUUGUCAAAUUUGUUUAUUAUCUUUUUUCUUUGUCAUGUUUGAGUGUUUCAUAAUGCAGCUCUGAUAUUUAUGCUAAUAAAGGGUGAUUGUGACAUAGUCAGAAGCCCAAUUAAGUGUGAAUGAUUGAG